rnacentral:rRNA from 1 species
GACAGAGGAGCCAAGCGUUGUCCGGAUUGACUGGGCGUAAAGCGCACGCAGGCGGUCGCGCGCGUGGGGUGUGAAAACUGGCGGCUUAACUGCCAGAGGCCAUCCCAUACGGCGCAACUCGAGCCAUGCAGAGGUCCACGGAAUUGCCGGUGUAGUGGUGAAAUGCUUAGAUAUCGUCAAGAACACCGAUAGUGUAGACAGCUUACUAGGCUGAAACUGACGCUGAGGCACGAAAGUGUGGGGAUCAAACAGG